GCUUGCUUUCUUUGCUGGCGACCGGCGCACGGGUGAGUAACACGUAUCCAACCUACCCUUUACUCGGGGAUAGCCUUUCGAAAGAAAGAUUAAUACCCGAUGCAUAAUGAUUCCGCAUGGUUUCAUUAUUAAAGGAUUCCGGUAAAGGAUGGGGAUGCGUUCCAUUAGGUUGUUGGUGGGGUAACGGCCCACCAAGCCUUCGAUGGAUAGGGGUUCUGAGAGGAAGGUCCCCCACAUUGGAACUGAGACACGGUCCAAACUCCUACGGGAGGCAGCAUG
rnacentral:rRNA from 1 species